rnacentral:rRNA from 1 species
CUACGGGUUGCAGCAGUGGGGAAUUUUGCGCAAUGGGGGAAACCCUGACGCAGCAAUACCGCGUGAGUGAAGAAGGCCUUUGGGUCGUAAAGCUCUUUUCUUGGGGAAGAUAGUGACGGUACCCAAGGAAUAAGCACCGAGCUAACUCCGUGCCAGCAGCCGCGGUAAUACGGAGGGUGCAAGCGUUGUUCGGAUUUACUGGGCGUAAAGGGCACGUAGGCGGCACAGCAAGUUAAGGGUGAAAUCCCGGGGCUCAACUCCGGAACUGCUCUUAAAACUGCUGAGCUAGAGAUAGUCAGAGGCGGGUGGAAUUCCAGGUGUAGAGGUGAAAUUCGUAGAUAUCUGGAGGAACACCGGUGGCGAAGGCGGCCCGCUGGGGCUAUUCUGACGCUAAGGUGCGAAAGCGUGGGGAGCAAACGGGAUUAGAUACCCUAGUAGUC